GUCCCAGUGGUUGAAUGGUAUACGAGCUUGCCUUGUAACCAAAAGGUCCUGGGUUCGAACCCCAGCGGGUAUG
rfam:Trichobilharzia regenti genome assembly, scaffold: TRE_scaffold0061223